rnacentral:lncRNA from 1 species
UGAUGCAUAGGGCAUUUAGGCAUUUAAAAUAGACAAGUUGAGCAUGAAAUUCAGACCCAGGAAAGUUGAGCAUGAAAUGCAAACCCAGGAAAGAUCAGCAUGAAAUGCAAACACAAGGAAUUUUUAUUUUUUUUAUUUUUUAUUUUUUAUUUUUUAUUUAGAAAUAGAAUUUAUUCAUAGAAUCAAAGUAGCGUACAUAGAACGACACGAAGUAGUGGUCUCAUUAAAACCUUCUUGAGGGACAAACCUCAGGGUAGGAAAGAGUACUACACAUGUCAUAGAGUCUGAAACAGUCACGCAGGACCAAUCCAAUUGUCAAAAGAGUCCUGCGAUGAAAUCAUAGUCCUUUGCACAGCCACAAUAUAGUGAGAACAUCCGACAGAGAACACAAUAUGCCAAGAAGAAAGAAAACAACCACUAAGCACACCAUCUCCAGCCACCUCCAAUAAUAAUUGGCGAUGAAAGAAGAGAAAUCUGCAAGGAGCAACAUAAAGAAG